rnacentral:rRNA from 1 species
UACAGAGGGUGCAAGCGUUAAUCGGAAUUACUGGGCGUAAAGCGCACGUAGGCGGGUAUUUAAGUCAAUUGUGAAAGCCCCGGGCUUAACCUGGGAACUGCAGUUGAUACUGGAUGCCUAGAGUAUGGUAGAGGAAGGUGGAAUUCCCGGUGUAGCGGUGAAAUGCAUAGAUAUCGGGAGGAACAUCAGUGGCGAAGGCGGCCUCUGGACCAAUCUGACGCUGAGGUGCGAAAGCGUGGGGAGCAAACAGG